rnacentral:rRNA from 1 species
UACGUAGGGUGCGAGCGUUGUCCGGAAUUAUUGGGCGUAAAGAGCUCGUAGGCGGCUUGUCGCGUCAACUGUGAAAACCCGUGGCUCAACCAUGUGGUCUGCAGUCGAUACGGGCAGGCUAGAAUUCGGUAGGGGAGACUGGAAUUCCUGGUGUAGCGGUGAAAUGCGCAGAUAUCAGGAGGAACACCGGUGGCGAAGGCGGGUCUCUGGGCCGAUAUUGACGCUGAGGCACGAAAGCGUGGGGAGCAAACAGG